GACGAACGCUGGCGGCGUGCCUAAUACAUGCAAGUCGAGCGGACAGACGGGAGCUUGCUCCCUGAUGUUAGCGGCGGACGGGUGAGUAACACGUGGGUAACCUGCCUGUAAGACUGGGAUAACUCCGGGAAACCGGGGCUAAUACCGGAUGGUUGUCUGAACCGCAUGGUUCAGACAUAAAAGGUGGCUUCGUCUACCACUUACAGAUGGACCCGCGGCGCAUUAGCUAGUUGGUGAGGUAACGGCUCACCAAGGCAACGAUGCGUAGCCGACCUGAGAGGGUGGGCGGCCACACUGGGACUGAGACACGGCCCAGAGUCCAACGGGAGGCAGCAGUAGGGAAUCUUCCGGAAUGGACGAAAGUCUGACGGAGCAACGCCGCGGGAGUGAUGAAGGUUUUCGGAUCGUAAAGCUCUGUUGUUAGGGAAGAACAAGUGCCGUUCAAAGAGGGCGGCACCUUGACGGUACCUAACCAGAAAGCCACGGCUAACUACGUG
rnacentral:rRNA from 1 species